rnacentral:rRNA from 1 species
UACGUAGGGUGCAAGCGUUGUCCGGAUUCAUUGGGCGUAAAGAGCUUGUAGGCGGUUUGUCGCGUCUGCUGUGAAAUUUCGGGGCUCAACCCCGAACUUGCAGUGGGUACGGGCAGACUAGAGUGUGGUAGGGGAGACUGGAAUUCCUGGUGUAGCGGUGAAAUGCGCAGAUAUCAGGAGGAACACCGAUGGCGAAGGCAGGUCUCUGGGCCACUACUGACGCUGAGAAGCGAAAGCAUGGGGAGCGAACAGG